rnacentral:rRNA from 1 species
UUCCCUUCGGGGACAUUGGUGACAGGUGGUGCAUGGUUGUCGUCAGCUCGUGUCGUGAGAUGUUGGGUUAAGUCCCGCAACGAGCGCAACCCUUGUCUUUAGUUGCCAUCAUUAAGUUGGGCACUCUAGAGAGACUGCCAGGGAUAACCUGGAGGAAGGUGGGGAUGACGUCAAAUCAUCAUGCCCCUUAUGCUUAGGGCUACACACGUGCUACAAUGGGUAGUACAGAGGGUUGCCAAGCCGUAAGGUGGAGCUAAUCCCUUAAAGCUACUCUCAGUUCGGAUUGUAGGCUGAAACUCGCCUACAUGAAGCUGGAGUUACUAGUAAUCGCAGAUCAGAAUGCUGCGGUGAAUGCGUUCCCGGGUCUUGUACACACCGCCCGUCACACCACGGGAGUUGGAGACGCCCGAAGCCGAUUAUCUAACCUUUUGGAAGAAGGCGUCGAAGGUGGAAUCAAUAACUGGGGUGAAGUCGUAACAAGGUAGCCGUAUCGGAAGGUGCGGCUGGAUCACCUCCUUUCUAAGGA